UUCCUACGGGAGGCAGCAGUGAGGAAUAUUGGACAAUGGAGGCAACUCUGAUCCAGCCAUGCUGCGUGCAGGAAGACUGCCCUAUGGGUUGUAAACUGCUUUUAUACGGGAAGAAACACUGCUACGUGUAGCAGCUUGACGGUACCGUAAGAAUAAGGAUCGGCUAACUCCGUGCCAGCAGCCGCGGUAAUACGGAGGAUCCAAGCGUUAUCCGGAAUCAUUGGGUUUAAAGGGUCCGUGGGUGGAUGAUUAAGUCAGGGGUGAAAGUCUGCAGCUCAACUGUAGAAUUGCCUUUGAUACUGGUUAUCUUGAAUUAUUAUGAAGUAGUUAGAAUAUGUAGUGUAGCGGUGAAAUGCAUAGAUAUUACAUAGAAUACCAAUUGCGAAGGCAGAUUACUAAUAAUAUAUUGACACUGAUGGACGAAAGCGUGGGGAGCGAACAGGAUUAGAUACCCUGGUAGUCCACGCCGUAAACGAUGGAUACUAGCUGUUCGGAUUUAUCUGAGUGGCUAAGCGAAAGUGAUAAGUAUCCCACCUGGGGAGUACGUUCGCAAGAAUGAAACUCAAAUGAAUUGACGGAA
rnacentral:rRNA from 1 species